rnacentral:rRNA from 1 species
AUUGAACGCUGGCGGCAGGCCUAACACAUGCAAGUCGAACGCGUGGCGGACGGGUGAGUCACGUCUGGGAAACUGCCUGAUGGCGGGGGAUAACUACUGGAAACGGUAGCUAAUACCGCAUACCAUCAGAUGUGCCAAGAUGGGCUUAGCUUGUUGGUGGGGUAACGGAUCACCAAGUCGACGAUCCAUAGCUGGUCUGAGAGGAUGAACAGCCACACUGGAACUGAGACACGGUCCAGACUCCUACGGGAGGCAGCAGUGGGGAAUAUUGCACAAUGGGCGACAGCCUGAUGCAGCCAUGCCGCGUGUAUGAAGAAGGCCUUCGGGUUGUAAAGUACUUUCAGCGGGGAGGCGUUACCCGCAAAGGAAGCACCGGCUAACUCCGUGCCAGCAGCCGCGGUAAUUC